GAAAACUAGCUCUUUUAGUAUUUGUCAAGUAGGGAUCUUCAAUUGAAGAAGCUCCCAU
ensembl:snRNA U7 U7 small nuclear RNA